GGGGAUGACAGGCUUCGACGGAAGAGGCUGGUCUCGUACUGCGAGCCGAGAGGCGCCGACCUCGUGAAAUCAGCGCACACUGUCAAGUGCCAACCGCACUGACUAUGCUGCUCUCCCUCUGGCUGCGUAAGCAGUUUAGAAUGAGUAGCUAACGGCCCCAAGGGCCGCGCCCCCUCGCUCCUCCCUCCGGCUGGGGAGAGGUCGGGCGACACAAUGCCGGAGUGCAGUGCUGGACGCCGCUAAAAGCGCCUAAGCGGAACUUUCGGGUUCCAGCGGCUGGCCGGUUGAACCCUUGGUCGCUUGUGGGCCAACCGGCGACAACCAACAGACGACUACGCUCGUAGACGUGCGGGAACCUAAUCUUGCGGACGCGGGUUCGAUUCCCGCCAUCUCCACCU
rnacentral:tmRNA from 1 species